rnacentral:tRNA from 1 species
GGGGAAUAAGCUCAAGUGGUAGAGCGCUCGCUAAGCAUGUGAGUGGUACAGGGAUCGAUACCCUGAUUCUCCA